rnacentral:rRNA from 1 species
CGUAGGUGGCGAGCGUUGUCCGGAUUUACUGGGUGUAAGGGCGUGUAGGCGGGUUUCAAGUCAGAUGUGAAAUACCGGGCUUAACUCCGGGCUGCAUUUGAAACUGAGAGUCUUGAGUGCCGGAGAGGAAGCGGAAUUCCUAGUGUAGCGGUGAAAUGCGUAGAUAUUAGGAGGAACACCAGUGGCGAAGGCGGCUUUCUGGACGGUAACUGACGCUGAGGCGCGAAAGCAUGGGGAGCAAACAGGAUU